GACGAACGCUUGCGGCGUGCCUAAGAAAUGCAAGUCGAGCGGGGGUAGCAAUACCCUAGCGGCGAACGGUCGCGUAACACGUAAGCAACCUGCCCCGAAGACCGGGACAACAGCUCGAAAGGGCUGCUAAUACCGGAUGUGGCCAUUGGGGGACAUCCCCUGGUGAUUAAAUCAAGCAAUUGGCUUCGGGAGGGGCUUGCGGCCUAUCAGCUAGUUGGUGGGGUAACGGCCUACCAAGGCGACGACGGGUAGCUGGUCUGAGAGGACGGCCAGCAGGACUGGGACUGAGAUACGGCCCAGACUCCUACGGGGGGCAGCAAUUAGGAAUCUUGCGCAAUGGGCGAAAGCCUGACGCAGCGACGCCGCGUGGAGGAGGAGGUCCUUCGGGAUGUAAACUCCUUUUGCCAGGGAAGAAACAAAUGACGGUACCUGGUGAAUAAGCCCCGGCUAACUACGUGCCAGCAGCCGCCGUAAAAC
rnacentral:rRNA from 1 species